rnacentral:rRNA from 1 species
AACGAACGCUGGCGGCAUGCCUAACACAUGCAAGUCGAACGAGACCUUCGGGUCUAGUGGCGCACGGGUGCGUAACGCGUGGGAACCUGCCCUUAGGUUCGGAAUAACUCCCCGAAAGGGGUGCUAAUACCGGAUAAUGUCUUCGGACCAAAGAUUUAUCGCCUUUGGAUGGGCCCGCGUUGGAUUAGCUAGUUGGUAGGGUAAAAGCCUACCAAGGCGACGAUCCAUAGCUGGUCUGAGAGGAUGAUCAGCAACACUGGGACUGAGACACGGCCCAGACUCCUACGGGAGGCAGCAGUGGGGAAUAUUGGACAAUGGGCGAAAGCCUGAUCCAGCAAUGCCGGGUGAGUGAUGAAGGCCUUAGGGUUGUAAAGCUCUUUUACCCGGGAUGAUAAUGACAGUACCGGGAGAAUAAGCACCGGCUAACUCCGUG